rnacentral:rRNA from 1 species
AACGAACGCUGGCGGCAUGCCUAACACAUGCAAGUCGAACGAGACCUUCGGGUCUAGUGGCGCACGGGUGCGUAACGCGUGGGAACCUGCCCUUAGGUUCGGAAUAACUCCCCGAAAGGGGUGCUAAUACCGGAUAAUGUCUUCGGACCAAAGAUUUAUCGCCUUUGGAUGGGCCCGCGUUGGAUUAGCUAGUUGGUAGGGUAAAAGCCUACCAAGGCGACGAUCCAUAGCUGGUCUGAGAGGAUGAUCAGCCACACUGGGACUGAGACACGGCCCAGACUCCUAGGGGAGGCAGCAGUGGGGAAUAUGGGACAAUGGGCGAAAGCCUGAUCCAGCAAUGCCGCGUGAGUGAUGAAGGCCUUAGGGUUGUAAAGCUCUGUUACCCGGGAUGAUAAUGACAGUACCGGGAGAAUAAGCUCCGGCUAACUCCGUG